rnacentral:rRNA from 1 species
UACGUAGGGUGCGAGCGUUGUCCGGAAUCACUGGGCGUAAAGGGCGCGUAGGCGGCCUGAUAAGUAGGGGGUGAAAUCCUGCGGCUUAACCGCAGGGCUGCCUUCUAAACUGUCAGGCUAGAGCACAGUAGAGGCAGGUGGAAUUCCCGGUGUAGCGGUGGAAUGCGUAGAGAUCGGAAAGAACACCAACGGCGAAAGCACUCUGCUGGGCCGACACUGACACUGAGAGACGAAGGCGUGGGGAGCGAACGGG